GUGAACGCUGGCGGUAGGCCUAACACAUGCAAGUCGAACGGCAGCACCGUAAGAGCUUGCUCUUACGGGUGGCGAGUGGCGGACGGGUGAGGAAUACAUCGGAAUCUACUUUUUCGUGGGGGAUAACGUAGGGAAACUUACGCUAAUACCGCAUACGACCUACGGGUGAAAGCAGGGGAUCUUCGGACCUUGCGCGAUUGAAUGAGCCGAUGUCGGAUUAGCUAGUUGGCGGGGUAAAGGCCCACCAAGGCGACGAUCCGUAGCUGGUCUGAGAGGGUGAUCAGCCACACUGGAACUGAGACACGGUCCAGACUCCUACGGGAGGCAGCAGUGGGGAAUAUUGGACAAUGGGCGCAAGCCUGAUCCAGCCAUACCGCGUGGGUGAAGAAGGCCUUCGGGUUGUAAAGCCCUUUUGUUGGGAAAGAAAAGCAGCAGGUUAAUACCCCGCUGUUCUGACGGUACCCAAAGAAUAAGCACCGGCUAACUUCGUG
rnacentral:rRNA from 1 species